GGCCUCGUAGCUCAGUUGGCAGAGCAUUGGACCACAGAAUAGAAUAUAUUUUAUUUUCUAUUCUGUGAUUGGACUAGUAUCCCAAAGGUCGCGGGUUCGAUUCCCACCGUGGUCA